UUAGCUCAGCUGGGAGAGCAUCUGCCUUACAAGCAGAGGGUCGGCGGUUCGAACCUGUCA
rnacentral:tRNA from 1 species